GACGAACGCUGGCGGCGUGCUUAACACAUGCAGGUCGAACGGAAAGGCCCUGCUUUUGUGGGGUGCUCGAGUGGCGAACGGGUGAGUAACACGUGAGUAACCUGCCCUUGACUUUGGGAUAACUUCAGGAAACUGCGGCUAAUACCGGAUAGGAGCUCCUGCUGCAUGGUGGGGGUUGGAAAGUUUCGGCGGUUGGGGAUGGACUCGCGGCUUAUCAGCUUGUUGGUGGGGUAGUGGCUUACCAAGGCUUUGACGGGUAGCCGUCCUGAGAGGGUGACCGGCCACAUUGGGACUGAGAUACGGCCCAGACUCCUACGGGAGGCAGCAGUGGGGAAUAUUGCACGAUGGGCGGAAGCGUGAUGCAGCAACGCCGCGUGCGGGAUGACGGCCUUCGGGUUGUAAACCGCUUUCGCCUGUGACGAAGCGUGAGUGACGGUAAUGGGUAAAGAAGCACCGGCUAACUACGUG
rnacentral:rRNA from 1 species